GAUGAACGCUGGCGGCGUGCCUAAUACAUGCAAGUCGAGCGAACAGACGAGGAGCUUGCUCCUCUGACGUUAGCGGCGGACGGGUGAGUAACACGUGGAUAACCUACCUAUAAGACUGGGAUAACUUCGGGAAACCGGAGCUAAUACCGGAUAAUAUAUUGAACCGCAUGGUUCAAUAGUGAAAGACGGUUUUGCUGUCACUUAUAGAUGGAUCCGCGCCGCAUUAGCUAGUUGGUAAGGUAACGGCUUACCAAGGCAACGAUGCGUAGCCGACCUGAGAGGGUGGUCGGCCACACUGGAACUUGGACACGGUCCAGACUCCUACGGGAGGCAGCAGUAGGGAAUCUUCCGCAAUGGGCGAAAGCCUGACGGAGCAACGCCGCGUGAGUGAUGAAGGUCUUCGGAUCGUAAAACUCUGUUAUUAGGGAAGAACAAAUGUGUAAGUAACUAUGCACGUCUUGACGGUACCUAAUCAGAAAGCCACGGCUAACUACGUG
rnacentral:rRNA from 1 species